rnacentral:rRNA from 1 species
GAUGAACGCUGGCGGCGUGCCUAAUACAUGCAAGUCGAGCGAACAGACGAGGAGCUUGCUCCUCUGACGUUGGCGGCGGACGGGUGAGUAACACGUGGAUAACCUACCUAUAAGACUGGGAUAACUUCGGGAAACCGGAGCUAAUACCGGAUAAUAUAUUGAACCGCAUGGUUCAAUAGUGAAAGACGGUUUUGCUGUCACUUAUAGAUGGAUCCGCGCCGCAUUAGCUAGUUGGUAAGGUAACGGCUUACCAAGGCAACGAUGCGUAGCCGACCUGAGAGACUGAUCGGCCACACUGGAACUGAGACGCGGUCCAGACUCCUACGGGAGGCAGCAGUAGGGAAUCGGCCGCAAUGGGCGAAAGCCUGACGGAGCAACGCCGCGUGAGAGAUGAAGGUCUUCGGAUCGUAAAACUCUGUUAUUAGGGAAGAACAAAUGUGUAAGUAACUAUGCACGUCUUGACGGUACCUAAUCAGAAAGCUACGGCUAACUACGUG